UACGAAGGGGGCUAGCGUUGUUCGGAAUUACUGGGCGUAAAGCGCGCGUAGGCGGACCUGCAAGUCGGGGGUGAAAGCCCGAGGCUCAACCUCGGAACUGCCUUCGAUACUGCGGGUCUCGAGUCCGGGAGAGGUGAGUGGAAUUCCUAGUGUAGAGGUGAAAUUCGUAGAUAUUAGGAAGAACACCAGUGGCGAAGGCGGCUCACUGGCCCGGUACUGACGCUGAGGCGCGAAAGCGUGGGGAGCGAACAGG
rnacentral:rRNA from 1 species